rnacentral:rRNA from 1 species
UGAAUACGAGACGCUAAGGCGUCGAAGUAGUGUAUGUCAUACUUCCAAGAAAAGCUUGCACUGUCAUAGAUAAAAAACGCCUGUACCAUAACCGACACAGGUGGGUAGGUAGAGUAUACUAAGGGGCGCGAGAUAACUCUCUCUAAGGAACUCGGCAAAAUAACUCCGUAACUUCGGGAGAAGGAGUGCCUUAUUCGUAAGGUUGCAAUAACAAGAUCCAAGCAACUGUUUAUCAAAAACACAGGUCUCCGCUAAGUCGUAAGACGAUGUAUGGGGGCUGACGCCUGCCCAGUGCCAGAAGGUUAAAGAAGUUGGUUAGCAAUUGCGAAGCUGAUAACUGAAGCCCUGGUGAACGGCGGCCGUAACUAUAACGGUCCUAAGGUAGCGAAAUUCCUUGUCGGGUAAGUUCCGACCCGCACGAAAGGCGUAAUGAUUUGGAUACUGUCUCGGAGAGGGGCUCGGUGAAAUAGACUUGUCUGUGAAGAUGCGGACUACCUGCACCAGGACAGAAAGACCCUAUGAAGCUUUACUGUAACUUGAAAUUGAAAUUGGACUUUAUUCGCGCAGUAUAGGUGGGAGGCGUUGAUUAUAAUCUUGUGGGAUUAUUGGAGCCAUCAGUGAGAUACCACUCUUGUAUGUUAGAUUUCUAACUUUGAAUCAUUAUCUGGUCAAAGAACAGUUUCAGGCGGGCAGUUUGACUGGGGCGGUCGCCUCCUAAACGGUAACGGAGGCGUACAAAGGUUUCCUCUGAACGGUUAGAAAUCGUAUCUAGAGUGUAAAGGCAUAAGGAAGCUUGACUGUGAGACCUACAAGUCGAGCAGGGACGAAAGUCGGUCUUAGUGAUCUGACGGUACUGAGUGGAAAGGCCGUCACUCAACGGAUAAAAGUUACUCUAGGAUAACAGGCUGAUCUCCCCCAAGAGUUCACAUCGACGGGGAGGUUUGGCACCUCGAUGUCGGCUCAUCGCAUCCUGGGGCGGUAGUACGUCCCAAGGGUUGGGCUGUUCGCCCAUGAAAGCGGUACGCGAGCUGGGUUCAGAACGUCGUGAGACAGUUCGGUCCAUAUCCGGUGUAGGCGUUAGAAUAUUGAGAGGAGCCUUCUUUAGUACGAGAGGACCGAGAAGGACAUACCUCUGGUGUACCAGUUAUCGUGCCAACGGUAAACGCUGGGUAGCUAUGUAUGGAGUGGAUAACCGCUGAAAGCAUCUAAGUGGGAAGCCCACCUCAAGAUAAGUAUUCUC